AUUGAACGCUGGCGGCAUGCCUUACACAUGCAAGUCGAACGGCAGCACGGGUGCCUGCCCCUGGUGGCGAGUGGCGAACGGGUGAGUAAUACAUCGGAACAUGUCCUGUAGUGGGGGAUAGCCCGGCGAAAGCCGGAUUAAUACCGCAUACGAUCCACGGAUGAAAGCGGGGGACCUUCGGGCCUCGCGCUAUAGGGUUGGCCGAUGGCUGAUUAGCUAGUUGGUGGGGUAAAGGCCUACCAAGGCGACGAUCAGUAGCUGGUCUGAGAGGACGACCAGCCACACUGGGACUGAGACACGGCCCAGACUCCUACGGGAGGCAGCAGUGGGGAAUUUUGGACAAUGGGCGAAAGCCUGAUCCAGCAAUGCCGCGUGUGUGAAGAAGGCCUUCGGGUUGUAAAGCACUUUUGUCCGGAAAGAAAUCCUUGACUCUAAUACAGUCGGGGGAUGACGGUACCGGAAGAAUAAGCACCGGCUAACUACGUG
rnacentral:rRNA from 1 species